GGGUUGUGAGGUUAAGCGACUAAGCGUACACGGUGGAUGCCCUGGCAGUCAGAGGCGAUGAAGGACGUGCUAAUCUGCGAUAAGCGUCGGUAAGGUGAUAUGAACCGUUAUAACCGGCGAUUUCCGAAUGGGGAAACCCAGUGUGAUUCGUCACACUAUCGUUAACUGAAUACAUAGGUUAACGAAGCGAACCGGGGGAACUGAAACAUCUAAGUACCCCGAGGAAAAGAAAU
rnacentral:rRNA from 1 species